GAUGAAGAACGUAGCGAAAUGCGAUAAGUAGUGUGAAUUGCAGAAUUCAGUGAAUCAUCGAAUCUUUGAACGCACCUUGCGCCCUUUGGCUAUUCCGAAGGGCAUGCCUGUUUGAGUAUCAUGAACACCUCAACUCUUCACGGCUUGCCGUGAUGAGUUUGGACUUUGGGGGUCUUGCUGGCCUACGAGCCAGCUCCUCUCAAAUGUAUUAGCUUGCCGGUGUUUGGUGGCAUCACAGGUGUGAUAACUAUCUACGCUUGUGGUUUUCCACUAGGUAACCUUCAGCAAUGGAGGUUCACCGGAGCUCACAAAUGUCUCUCCUUGCCAAGGACAGAUUUUGACCAUUUGAUCUCAAAUCAGGUAGGACUACCCGCUGAACUUAAGCAUAUCAAUAAGCGGAGGA
rnacentral:misc_RNA from 1 species